ACCCGGAUCCCCCCGCCAGCCCCUGCCUCAGCUCCCCUGCAAAAGCAGCUGCAGAAAAGUUUCCGACAAGUUCAGGCGAGAGACGGCAGUGGCGCAAGGAGGAGACGGGAGACUCCUCUUCCAGACAACCCCCAGCACGGAAAUAGUUGCUUUUGGACCUGGGAAUGAGGAUUUUGGUUACCUCCCAUCUCUCUCCACCCCUUCCUUGAAGUUUUCUAGGAUUUUCAGCAAAGCCUUUGAAAAGCUCCAGUUUCCUCAAACGUCCUAUUUUUCUGCUUUAAAAGGCUCAACCUUUUAGGCAAAUAUAUAAAGAUAUGUGUGUACAUAUAUGUAUCUAUAAAUGCAGAAAUUCUGUGUGUGUGUGUG